rnacentral:rRNA from 1 species
AACGCUAGCUACAGGCUUAACACAUGCAAGUCGAGGGGUAACAUGGAGGGAGCUUGCUUCCUCCGAUGACGACCGGCGAAUGGGUGAGUAACGCGUAUCCAACCUGCCCCUUUCCCACGGAUAGCCCUUAGAAAUGAGGAUUAAUACGUGAUGGCAUCCGGCAAUCGCAUGAGCGCCGGAUUAAAGAUUCAUCGGAAAGGGAUGGGGAUGCGUCUGAUUAGGUAGUUGGCGGGGUAACGGCCCACCAAGCCCUCGAUCAGUAGGGGUUCUGAGAGGAAGGUCCCCCACAUUGGUACUGAGACACGGACCAAACUCCUACGGGAGGCAGCAGUGAGGAAUAUUGGUCAAUGGGCGCAAGCCUGAACCAGCCAAGUAGCGUGCAGGAUGACGGCCCUAUGGGUUGUAAACUGCUUUUGUCGGGGAAUAAAGUGACCCACGCGUGGGUUAUUGCAGGUACCCGGUGAAUAAGGACCGGCUAAUUCCGUGCCAGCAGCCGCGGUAAUACGGAAGGUCCGAGCGUUAUCCGGGUUUAUUGGGUUUAAAGGGAGCGUAGGUGGAAGUGUAAGUCAGCCGUCAAAUUGCGCAGCUCAACUGCGUCCAGCGGUUGAAACUGCACUUCUUGAGUGCACAAGAGGAAGGUGGAAUUCGUGGUGUAGCGGUGAAAUGCUUAGAUAUCACGAAGAACUCCGAUUG